CGUAUGGCGACCGGCGCACGGGUGAGUAACACGUAUCCAACCUGCCGAUGACUCGGGGAUAGCCUUUCGAAAGAAAGAUUAAUACCCGAUGGCAUAGUUCUUCCGCAUGGUAGAACUAUUAAAGAAUUUCGGUCAUCGAUGGGGGUGCGUUCCAUUAGGUUGUUGGCGGGGUAACGGCCCACCAAGCCUUCGAUGGAUAGGGGUUCUGAGAGGAAGGUCCCCCACAUUGGAACUGAGACACGGUCCAA
rnacentral:rRNA from 1 species